rnacentral:lncRNA from 1 species
CGACGUCGUCGGCCCACAUGAAAGCACUUUUGCGCGCAAGAGGGUUGGCGACGUGCUCUGCCGUCAACGAUUUGGUUGUCAUGCAAGGGUCUUUGCUGAAAAAAAAAACGGAAGCAGAGAAGUGUCUGGAUGAAGACUCGUUCGAAUGACUGGUGGGAUCGCAUUGUGGCAACAGAGUUCACCGACGAGGGCUGGAAAAAUAACUUUAGAAUGAGCCGAGCUUCAUUCAACGAACUUGUUCUACUUUUGGAACCAUUCAUGUCGCCAAAGACGUAUUGUGUGCGACAACCACUACCAGUGCAAAAGAGAGUGGCUAUUGCCCUUU